rnacentral:rRNA from 1 species
UACAGAGGGAGGCAAGCGUUGUCCGGAAUCAUUGGGCGUAAAGAGCGUGUAGGCGGUCCGGUCAGUCGGUUGUGAAAGUCAAGGGCUCAACCCUUGAAUGCCGGCCGAUACUGCCGGGCUAGAGUCCGGAAGAGGUGAGUGGAAUUCCUGGUGUAGCGGUGAAAUGCGCAGAUAUCAGGAGGAACACCAAUGGCGAAGGCAGCUCGCUGGGACGGUACUGACGCUGAGGCGCGAAAGCGUGGGGGAGCAAACAGG